rnacentral:rRNA from 1 species
AACGAACGCUGGCGGCAUGCCUAACACAUGCAAGUCGAACGAGACCUUCGGGUCUAGUGGCGCACGUGUGCGUACCGCGUGGGAACCUGCCCUUAGGUUCGGAAUAACUCCCCGUAAGGGGUGCUAAUACCGGUUAAUGUCUUCGGACCAAAGAUUUAUCGCUUUUGGCUGGGCCCGCGUUGGAUUGGCGGGUGGGUAGUGGAAAAGCCUGCCAAGGACACGAUCCAUGGCUGGUCGGAGAGGAGGAUCAGUCACACUGGGACUGAGACACGGCCCAGACUGGGACGGAGGGGAGCAGUGGGGAGUAUAAGAGACGGAACGAAAACCUAGUAACGCAGUGCCGGGGAAGAGAUGAAGGCGUUAGGAUUGUAAAUCUGUUUUAGCCGGGAUGAGAAUGACAGUACCGGGAGAAUAAGCACCGGCUAACUCCGUG